GUUUCUGUGAAGCAAUCGGUUAGCGCGUUCGGCUGUUAACCGAAAGGUUGAUGGUUCAAAUCCAUCCAGAAACG
rnacentral:tRNA from 1 species